rnacentral:rRNA from 1 species
CAAACUCCGAAUGCCGCGUAAUCGAUUAUCGGAGUCAGACUGCACGAGAUAAGUUGGGCGGUCAAAAGGGAAAGAGCCCAGACCUUCAGUUAAGGUCCCCAAGUGCGCGUUAAGUGGAAAAAGGAUGUGGGAUUUCGAAGACAACCAGGAUGUUGGCUCAGAAGCAGCCAUCCAUUCAAAGAGUGCGUAAUAGCUCACUGGUCGAGAGGUCCUGCGCCGAAAAUGUCCGGGGCUGAAACGCGCCACCGAAACUAAGGAACCGAAAGGUUGGUAGAGGAGCAUUGCAUGCGGAACGAAGCAGUACCGUAAGGAGCUGUGGACUGCAUGGAAGAGAGAAUGCCGGAAUGAGUAGCGAGAAUAAGGUGAGAAUCCUUAUGGCCGAAUAUCCAAGGUUUCCAGAGUAAAGCUGAUCUGCUCUGGGUAAGUCGGGGCCUAAGGCGAGGACGAGAGUCGUAGCCGAUGGACAACAGGUGGAGAUUCCUGUACUGCGGUAAUGACAGAACUGGUGGGGAC